rnacentral:rRNA from 1 species
CGAACGCUGGCGGCGUGCCCAAUACAUGCAAGUAGAACGCUGAAGAAGAGGAGCUUGCUCUUCUUGGAUGAGUUGCGAACGGGUGAGUAACGCGUAGGUAACCUGCCUUGUAGCGGGGGAUAACUAUUGGAAACGAUAGCUAAUACCGCAUAACAAUGGAUGACUCAUGUCAUUUAUUUGAAAGGGGCAAAUGCUCCACUACAAGAUGGACCUGCGUUGUAUUAGCUAGUAGGUGAGGUAACGGCUCACCUAGGCGACGAUACAUAGCCGACCUGAGAGGGUGAUCGGCCUCACUGGGACUGAGACACGGCCCAGACUCCUACGGGAGGCUGCAGUAGGGAAUCUUCGGCAAUGGGGGCAACCCUGACCGAGCAACGCCGCGUGAGUGAAGAAGGUUUUCGGAUCGUAAAGCUCUGUUGUAAGUCAAGAACGAGUGUGAGAGUGGAAAGUUCACACUGUGACGGUAGCUUACCAGAAAGGGACGGCUAACUACGUGCCAGCAGCCGCGGUAAUACGUAGGUCCCGAGCGUUGUCCGGAUUUAUUGGGCGUAAAGCGAGCGCAGGCGGUUUGAUAAGUCUGAAGUUAAAGGCUGUGGCUCAACCAUAGUUCGCUUUGGAAACUGUCAAACUUGAGUGCAGAAGGGGAGAGUGGAAUUCCAUGUGUAGCGGUGAAAUGCGUAGAUAUAUGGAGGAACACCGGUGGCGAAAGCGGCUCUCUGGUCUGUAACUGACGCUGAGGCUCGAAAGCGUGGGGAGCGAACAGGGUUAGAUACCCUGGUAGUCCACGCCGUAAACGAUGAGUGCUAGGUGUUGGAUCCUUUCCGGGAUUCAGUGCCGCAGCUAACGCAUUAAGCACUCCG